rnacentral:rRNA from 1 species
UACGUAGGAGGCAAGCGUUGUCCGGAAUUACUGGGCGUAAAGCGCGUGUAGGUGGUGGGACAAGUCUGCUGUGAAAGCGCCUGGCUUAACCGGGCGAGGUCGGCGGAAACUGUCCGACUCGAGGACGGUAGAGGGGGGUGGAAUUCCCGGGUGUAGUGGUGAAAUGCGUAGAGAUCGGGAGGAACACCUGUGGCGAAGGCGGCCCCCUGGCCGGCCCUGACACUGAGACGCGAAGGCGUGGGGAGCGAACGGG